rnacentral:tRNA from 1 species
GCCUGGGUGGCUCAGUCAGUUAAGUGUGUCUGACUUCAGCUCAGGUCAUGAUCUCACGGUUUGUGGGUUCGAGCCCCACAUUGGGCU